rnacentral:misc_RNA from 1 species
GAUGAAGAACGUAGCGAAAUGCGAUACGUAAUGUGAAUUGCAGAAUUCAGUGAAUCAUCGAAUCUUUGAACGCACAUUGCGCCCCCUGGUAUUCCGGGGGGCAUGCCUGUUCGAGCGUCAUUUCACCACUCAAGCCUCGCUUGGUAUUGGGCAUCGCGGUCCGCCGCGUGCCUCAAAUCGACCGGCUGGGUCUUCUGUCCCCUAAGCGUUGUGGAAACUAUUCGCUAAAGGGUGUUCGGGAGGCUACGCCGUAAAACAACCCCAUUUCUAAGGUUGACCUCGGAUCAGGUAGGGAUACCCGCUGAACUUAAGCAUAUCAAUAAGCGGAGGA